rnacentral:rRNA from 1 species
AGUGAACGCUGGCGGUAGGCCUAACACAUGCAAGUCGAACGGCAGCACAGUAAGAGCUUGCUCUUACGGGUGGCGAGUGGCGGACGGGAGAGGAAUACAUCGGAAUCUACUUUUUCGUGGGGGUUAACGUAGGGAAACUUACGCUAAUACCGCAUACGACCUACGGGUGAAAGCAGGGGAACUUCGGACCUGGCGGGAGGGAAUGGGCCGGUGGCGGAUUAGCUAGUUGGCGGGGUAGUGGCCCACCAAGGCUUUGAUGGGUAGCCGGCCUGAGAGGGUGACCGGCCACAUUGGGACUGAGAUACGGGCCAGACUGCUACGGGAGGCAGCAGUGGGGAAUAUUGCACAAUGGGCGGAAGCCUGAUGCAGCAACGCCGCGUGCGGGAUGACGGCCUUCGGGUUGUAAACCGCUUUCGCCUGUGACGAAGCGUGAGUGACGGUAAUGGGUAAAGAAGCACCGGCUAACUACGUG